rnacentral:rRNA from 1 species
UCUGGGAUAAGCGCUGGAAACGGCGUCUAAUACUGGAUACGAACCACGAAGGCAUCUUCAGUGGUUGGAAAGAAUUUCGGUUGGGGAUGGGCUCGCGGCCUAUCAGCUUGUUGGUGAGGUAAUGGCUCACCAAGGCGUCGACGGGUAGCCGGCCUGAGAGGGUGACCGGCCACACUGGGACUGAGACACGGCCCAGACUCCUACGGGAGGCAGCAGUGGGGAAUAUUGCACAAUGGGCGCAAGCCUGAUGCAGCAACGCCGCGUGGGGGAUGACGGCCUUCGGGUUGUAAACCUCUUUUAGCAGGGAAGAAGCGAAAGUGACGGUACCUGCAGAAAAAGCGCCGGCUAACUACGUGCCAGCAGCCGCGGUAAUACGUAGGGCGCAAGCGUUAUCCGGAAUUAUUGGGCGUAAAGAGCUCGUAGGCGGUUUGUCGCGUCUGCUGUGAAAUCCCGAGGCUCAACCUCGGGCCUGCAGUGGGUACGGGCAGACUAGAGUGCGGUAGGGGAGAUUGGAAUUCCUGGUGUAGCGGUGGAAUGCGCAGAUAUCAGGAGGAACACCGAUGGCGAAGGCAGAUCUCUGGGCCGUAACUGACGCUGAGGAGCGAAAGGGUGGGGAGCAAACAGGCUUAGAUACCCUGGUAGUCCACCCCG